GCCAUGGGGACGGCGGGGACGGCGCACACACACACGCAGACGGGGGUUUAUUGCGCGGGCACACCUGUCUGGGCUGCUCCGCUCUUUGCUCCGCCGGAGGGACGGCACAAAUGUCCUGCGGCAAUAAAGGUGGUGAUCGCCCUUCGCCUCGGCCCCUCUGCCCCUGCCCGGGCGCCGCAUGAGUAACGGCUGAGUAACGGCGAGGAGGCGGGGGGGGAAGCGGGCGGCAGGUCUCCGGGAUCACCGUGUCCUGGCCGCGGCCGCCUCUCCUCUCUCGGCUCUUGCGUAAGAAAUCCUGAGGCUGGAGGAGGACACGCAGCUGCGGGUGCCGUCUUCGACAAGGUGAUGCCAAACCCAAGGAGCGAUGCCCAAGAGCUCUGAAAAACAAGUUGCUGAAUCGGUUGCUCAGACGUUAAUGGGUGACAGACGGGCCCGGCAAACCUCCGUCAGCCCCUUUGUUCACAGUGCAAUUAAAACCCAUUGUCAUUA